rnacentral:lncRNA from 1 species
GGCAUGCUGCUUUUACAUGUUUGCUGCUGACAGCCUCCAGCCCACAUUGCCCUGCCAAGCCACCCCUCAUCUGGGCCACACUGAUCUAACCUCACAGAUUGACUCUGCUUGAAACACAUGCCCACCUGUGCACCGCCAUUGCCAGGGAAGCAGUGCUCCCUGAUGGCCAGCCUAGCUUGGGUGACAAUACCAACCCUGUGGAGGAUGAAAGUGCAAGAAGAGAGUCUUGAUCUGGCCCUGGCUCCCUCUGACCCAGAGUCAGCGCUCUCAGACUCUGCUGUACGUGGAGGGCCUGGAGCCCAUGAACCUGGGGACUUGUCUUGCAAGUCUACAGUCAGACCAUCUGUACUUCACAAGGUCCCUUUCUCAAUGGCCCUGCCCUCCAUCAUUCUCCAACCACAGAAUUCCAUAACCAGUACUUCAUGCCUGGAGAAUGUAGAAGAGGAUUCAGAACAAAUUAAAGCAAGAGAUACGGAGGCAGAAUGAGGGAGCUAAACCAUCAACAUUCCUGCUGCUACCUCUGGAUGGGAGAACACGGCCCCCUCUCAACUCUGAAGCUUGGGAGUUCCCUGGGAGGGCAGGGCUGGGUCUGCAGAGCAUGCGCGCCUCCCCUGCCUACAGCUGGGGCAUCAGGACUUCAGGCCAGUCCUGCUGCUGUGGAGGGACCUGCACAGAGAGCAGCAUUUGGGGUAUGGGACUCCCUUUAGAAUGUGGACCUAAUCCCUGGCCAAGGGGAGUGAGUAAGAGCCAGGCAAGAAGCUUCUGUUGAUCUGCAGGCAGAAGGAGUCUUACAAAAACGGAAUGCGGGUGGAGCUGAGCGCAGUGUUCUUAGGUCCUGAUCCCAGUCAAUCACCUUCACUCAGGAAGAAUGGUGAAAGAUAGAGAGAAGGGUGGGACAUUGUCCUCUACUCUUUCCUCUCCUGGAGAGUGUGGAGAAACUCUCCGCUUUGCCUCUCCUUCUCUAUGGAAAUAUGAGGGCCUUAUAAGCAUUUUUCUCUAAAAAUGCUCAUGGUUGCAGCAAGCAGACAUUCCAGAAACAAAUUUCUGGUGCAGAAAUCAUAUGUAUAAAAGCUUGAUGUGAGAAAAUGUGGGAUGUGUAUGUGCAAGGGGGUGCUCCUUGGUGCUUGAAGCUUGGGGUGCUUGUAAGGAAGUGGGGGAGAAUAAGGCAAGAAAGAUAUUGCCAGAUUCCGGGAGCCUCGAAUUCCAGGCCAGGGAGUUUGACUUUGAUCCUUAGGCACUGCAAAUCCACGCAUCUUAUUGGAAACAUCACUCUAAGCAUCUGUCCCCACCGAGCAGGGAGCUGUGCUGGGUUCCAUCAGACACAGCUGGCCUUAGCCACCCCUCCAUGUUACUUGCUUGUGAGCAAUGCUAGGUGUAUUCCUCUAGGUUUCAGGAUGAGAUCACAUUGCUUGUUUACCUAAAACAGACUGUAGGAAAUCUGCAACCAAAUAUCCUUGAGGUAAAUACAGAAACAACAGAAAAGCAAACAGCAGACGACUGAGAAUGGGAUCCCCUGAUGGAGUUUGGAGGAGGCAGAACACAGAGAGCAGCCUCUGGAGUGCCCAAGCCCCACAGCUCAUCACCCCGCAUCCAUUCUAAGGAUGGGGCAGAGCUGCAGGACAACACUGAGUGAGGGACAGAGACAAGAGACAAACGUGAGCUUUGGACUCACUAACUCAAGUCAGAAACAAUAUUAGGGAAAAAUAAAGGUUGACUCCAUAAAUAGAAGAAUUUAGUUCAGUUAUAGAGAGAACCAUGCCAACAGUUCAAGCAAUUUAAAGGAUGUAAUGAACCAGUGUGAGGACUAGUCCCCCAGUUUCUCCCCAAAAUUGGUAAUAUUAACUCCUUAUACUCAUUCAGCGCAUUGCAAUUUGCAAGCCCUUUCACAUGAUGUUAUCUCUUGGGUCUUCACAAACAGCCUGGGAUCUAAGGAGGGCUAGGGAAGAAGGAGCCCCAUUUGAGGAAACUGAAGCCCAGUUCCAUGACCAGGUCUAGAACCAGGCCAGCUUUCCCUCUGGCUCCACUGUAAUGCCAUAGUUGUGUUGGUGGGGGCUUUCCUUGAGAAAGAUGAUGGAGGCAUUGAUCAAUAGUUUAUCAGUCUGUCCUCCAUAUAGAGGUCUGCAAUAGACAAUGUUACCAUGAGGCUUCAUUCUAUAUGGUACCAUCCAUCCAUACUAUUUCCAAAGUGACUAGGUCUACUUAAUCUAAAGUGGGUAAGUAGAAUGAUAAAUAGAACUGUAUUUACAAGCAAAGAUAGAUAUUGAAAUUAAAACUGGG